GAAAAAGCCCCAAACUGAAGUUCUUCAGUGUGGUAAUGCAUUUAAAAGUAAGCCCAAGGCCAUAGCUGAUUAUUUCUCUAGUCUCGGCGAGUCCUUGGAACCAGCUCUGAUGAGCGAGCUCAGAUCUUCACCGAGGAAACCUAGUCCCUAUGACCGCUGCAGACCAAUUACUGCCAUGCCCAAUUGAGGGCUAAUCCCGCCCAGGAAACGAUGUUAGUGGCAGGGACAUGACAGCUGCCGUGCAGGAAGGACACUCGGAUGGGCAUGCGCUGGUCUCCAAGGCUACGCCUGUGCCCUUUCCGGCCGUGGCGUGGGCUCUGGGCUCCUGCCAACACUGCCACUCUGGGCGGACCCCGCCUGGAAGAGCUGAGCACCCGACCCGAAGGUGAUCCCACCGCUGUUCUAGAGGGUCACCUUCAUGUCAUGCUAGAGAUUUUGCCAAGUGAUUGCAGACAUCGCUGGAAUGUCCGGACUUUGCAAGGAAAAAGCAGAUCUUCUCGAACGGCGUUGUUCUGCAGCAAAGCAAACGGUGCCGGUGGUGUUGUCUCCUGGACCUUCUGAUUUCCCGUUGCAAAACCGAGAGGACUCCCAGACCGCUGCCAUGUCUGUCUCCAGUCUGCCAUGGCUGAAGAAAAAGUCGCAGUCGGUGGACAUGACCGCUCCAGGGUUCAGGCCCUUGGCAGGGGCGGGGAAGCCAGCGCCCCAGGUCGGGAAGGCUGCAGCGCCCAAGACUCCCACCAUCGAGGAGGAGCAGCAGAACACGGCCAAUGCCCAGCACCAGCCACCGCGCCGGAGCGGGCUGCAGAGGUUCUACACCAUCGGUACGCAGACCUGGAGGAAGCCAGCCUGCUGA
rnacentral:lncRNA from 1 species